GGUAGUCCUGAUGCGACAAAGCAAAUAGUAAGAUCUUCUUUCUUUUUCGUUAUAACAAAUCUCGAAGCGUAUAUAUUCUGCUUUGCUGGAGAAUGUCUGAAAAACAAGAGCAAAGAAAUUGGUUUUGCGGCGUACAACUCUGCAUGGUAUGACAUGAAAACUAAAGAUAGUCGUGUCCUGUUAUUUAUCAUGUUAAGAUCGCAAAAACAAUUGACACUUACAGCUGGGAAGAUGAUGGAUUUAUCCUUGCAAUCUUUUACAAGUAUCAUAAAUGCUUCGGGAUCAUUUCUGUCGAUGCUAUUGGCGAUGCGAUAAAUACUAGAUGAUCGAUUAUUUAACAACAGUAAAAAAUUAUGAAUUAUACAUAUAUCAGUAGUUCUAGAAAUUCAUGUUGUAAUACAGUAUAUUUCUCCAAAUAUAAAUAUUAAACAAUAA